GACGAACGCUGGCGGCGUGCCUAAUACAUGCAAGCUGAGCGCUGAAGGUUGGUACUUGUACCAACUGGAUGAGCAGCGAACGGGUGAGUAACGCGUGGGGAAUCUGCCUUUGAGCGGGGGACAACAUUUGGAAACGAAUGCUAAUACCGCAUAAAAACUUUAAACACAAGUUUUAAGUUUGAAAGAUGCAAUUGCAUCACUCAAAGAUGAUCCCGCGUUGUAUUAGCUAGUUGGUGAGGUAAAGGCUCACCAAGGCGAUGAUACAUAGCCGACCUGAGAGGGUGAUCGGCCACAUUGGGACUGAGACACGGCCCAAACUCCUACGGGAGGCAGCAGUAGGGAAUCUUCGGCAAUGGACGAAAGUCUGACCGAGCAACGCCGCGGGAGUGAAGAAGGUUGUCGGAUCGUAAAACUCUGUUGGUAGAGAAGAACGUUGGUGAGAGUGGAAAGCUCAUCAAGUGACGGUAACUACCCAGAAAGGGACGGCUAACUACGUG
rnacentral:rRNA from 1 species